CGGACAACAAAAAACAAAAAACACAAGUAGACUUAUUCGUGACCAGCAGUGACGAAAUGGGGCGACGACAAUAACAAUGGCAAUAUGGCAGUCCCCUAUAAACGCAGCUAUGCGUCUAGUUCUUUUUAGUUUUUGGCGCUGCCAGCUGCCACAUCUCAGCCAGCCCACGCUGCCACUUUUCCACCAUUUUGCACAUGUGUACAGAGGAUGUUGCCUCAUAUAUGUAGAUUGCUUUUUGUCCAUAACUGCUGCCUCACAAUCUGACCCUGUUUUAUUCGAGCCUGCUAAACGUUCGAACGUUCAAGUGACGUCUGCAACUAGAUUCAAGCGAUGGUGUGGCAAAAUUCUUGAUGAAAUUUUCAAGUUUAUUCAGUCAAAAACAUUUGUGGACACUUGGCACUUUAAGGAAAACUUUAUUUAUUUCGGAAUAUAUUUACCCAAGGGGGAGUAGGCGUCGCAAAUGGAAAAGUUGCCAUUGGUUGCAAAACAAAGUAUUUAUUUUUUUUAUUAUUUGGAUCCGAGUAGCUGGCACGCCCAAAAUUUUCUUCUUGAUUAAAAGUGAAUUAGCUAUGAUGUGAAUCCAGCUUGAUUUUGCUGGAUCUACAUUUGACUUGCAUAUGUAAAAAUUUUGUUUUGACUGUUUCAGGAAACAGUGAAAUUACACCACUUUGGUUAUACUUGAAAAAAGUUUCCUAAUGAGAUUUUCCUAUGUUUAUCCAAGAUUUUGGCCAAGCCUUGUGAUGCAGUACAGAGUGGUUUACACUAUGCUUAUCUGAAAAUGGUGAGGGGUGACUGAGAAAACAUUGCAGUUCAAGAGGAAAGUCAGAAAAUAAGGUUGUUUUGAAAGUGACAAUGAACAAAAGAUUUUAUCAGUGGGAACAUAAAGGACAUGCCAAACACACUACUAUGGAGGCAGAAGGAAAUCCAG